UGGGGAAUCUUGCGCAAUGGGGGAAACCCUGACGCAGCGACGCCGCGUGAGCGAUGAAGGCCUUCGGGUUGUAAAGCUCUGUGGGGAGGGACGAAUAAGUGUUGGCUAAUAUCCAACAUGAUGACGGUACCUCCUUAGCAAGCACCGGCUAACUCUGUGCCAGCAGCCGCGGUAAGACAGAGGGUGCAAACGUUGUUCGGAAUCACUGGGCGUAAAGCGCGUGUAGGCGGCUUGGCAAGUCGGAUGUGAAAGCCCACGGCUCAACCGUGGAAGUGCACUCGAAACUGCCAGACUAGAGUCCUGGAGAGGAAGGCGGAAUGCUAGGUGUAGAGGUGAAAUUCGUAGAUAUCUAGCGGAACACCGGUGGCGAAGGCGGCCUUCUGGACAGUGACUGACGCUGAAACGCGAAAGCGUGGGGAGCAAACAGG
rnacentral:rRNA from 1 species